rnacentral:rRNA from 1 species
AUACCUGAUAGUAUGGUGAGAUUGCAUGAUAGCACCAUUAAAGAUUUAUUGGUAAACGAUGGGGAUGCGUUCCAUUAGGUAGUAGGCGGGGUAACGGCCCACCUAGCCGGGGGGGGAUAGGGGUUCUGAGAGGAAGGUCCCCCACAUUGGAACUGAGACACGGUCCAAACUCCUACGGGAGGCAGCAGUGAGGAAUAUUGGUCAAUGGGCGAGAGCCUGAACCAGCCAAGUAGCGUGAAGGAUGAAGGUCCUACGGAUUGUAAACUUCUUUUAUACGGGAAUAAAGUAUCCUACGUGUAGGAUUUUGUAUGUACCGUAUGAAUAAGCAUCGGCUAACUCCGUGCCAGCAGCCGCGGUAAUACGGAGGAUGCGAGCGUUAUCCGGAUUUAUUGGGUUUAAAGGGAGCGCAGACGGGAGAUUAAGUCAGUUGUGAAAGUUUGCGGCUCAACCGUAAAAUUGCAGUUGAUACUGGUUUCCUUGAGUGCAGUUGAGGCAGGCGGAAUUCGUGGUGUAGCGGUGAAAUGCUUAGAUAUCACGAAGAACCCCGAUUGCGAAGGCAGCUUGCUAAACUGUAACUGACGUUCAUGCUCGAAAGUGUGGGUAUCAAACAGGAUUAGAUACCCU